rnacentral:misc_RNA from 1 species
GGGCAUUCCACCAGAUCCAACAAGUUGCUUAAGAUCCCAUCGUCUUUCCUUGUACCAUGAAGUGAAGAGCUUGAUGGAUUGGGCAAGAGCAAAGGCAAUAAGAGCAGACAUAAGAGGAUAAUUAGUGAAAAAUGAAGAUGACCCAACAGAGACCGUUGUUGUCAUGGUAGCUGUCAUCAUAUUUUCACUAAUUUCUUGAGUUUCAAAUCAAGAUUCAGAUUUCAAAGUUAUAAUCCAAGAUUUGGGAAUAAGAGGUGUUGUGAAUUCUGCUCCUUCUUCGUUUGCGUGUGACGAAAAUCGCUAUUUUGGGUUCACACAACGAACAAGCCAACCACAUGGUUUCAUCAAAGACUUGAAG